UGCCAGCGUGACGUAUAAUCUAGUGGACGGUUCUUCGGACCAACAUAGCCGAAAGAUUCAAUAUAUUUAUACGCUUUUGGUGUAUAUUUGCUACUGUGUUUUAGACACACUUCUGUCGUAUCUACUUGUUAACUUAUUUCAUUUAAUAUUACGUUAUUUUGUAUUAGUCAGCUAUAGUAUCUGUCUGGUUAAAUUAGCACUAGUCUAGUCGCUAAUGAUAGCUAGCUAGCUACCUAACAUCCCCAACCAUGAACUCCCUAAACAUCUCUUCUCCUGUUAAAGAAGAGUUGAUCUGCUGGACGGAGAAAGAAGCUCCGGCGCUGAACAUUGUUGUGAAAGAGGGGGAGGAAUGUAACAGUAAAACAAGAAGUAGAGGGUGAGGUUGUUACAGUGAAAGAAGAAGAGAAAGACGUUUCAGUGAAAGAAGAGGAAGACGCGUUCAGAGUGAAAGGGGAAGAGGCUGUUACACUAAAAGAAGAGGAGGCAGAGAAAGAGGAGGAUGCAGCUUUUGGAGUGAAGAAGGAGGAGGGGGAGAUUACUGUCACAUUGAAAGAUGAAGAGGUGGAGAUAGGAGAUCUGAUUAACACCAGAGAGAGACCAGACUCUCACUCUGACAGCGGGAAGAGUCCUUCAGGGGAACCAGACCCAGAGACGCCCAAACCAGUGAGACAACACCACUGCUCCCACUGUGAAAAUAGUUUUUGCUGGUCAGGGAACCUAAAACUGCAUGAGAGGACACACACAGGAGAAAAACCUUACCAGUGUUCCCAGUGUGGAAAGAGUUUUGCCGUGUUAACUAACCUGAAAAGGCAUGAGAGAAUACACACAGGAGAAAAGCCUUAUCACUGUUCCCACUGUGGAAUUUGUUUUAUUCAGUUAGGGCACCUAAAAGGUCAUGAGAGGACACACACAGGAGAAAAGCCUUUCCAAUGUUCCCAGUGUGGAAAGAGGUUUACUAAGAAAGGGCAAGUAAAAGAGCACGAGAGAAUACACAAAGGAGAAAAGCCUUUCCAAUGUUCCCAUUGUGGAAAGAGUUUUACACGGAUACGAAAUCUAAAAAAGCAUGCGAGACUACACACCGGGAGAAAAGCCUUACCAAUGCUCCCAGUGUGGAAAGUGUUUUGCCGUGUUAACUAACCUGAAAAGGCAUGAGAGAAUACACACAGGAGAAAAGCCUUAUCACUGUUCCCAGUGUGUAAAAAGAGUUUUACCUGGUUAGGGAGCCUGAAGGUGCAUGAGAAGACACACUAAAAAAAGCCCUACCACUGCUCUUUCUCUCUGUGUGGAAGGACAUUUUUCCAGUCAGAGAACCUGAAAUUACAUGAGAAAAUAAAGGUGCUGUGUUCUGACUUAUUUUUGACUGAGAAUUUGUGUUUUUGUUUAUGCCACAUGAAAUCAUAUUGUUUAUGAUUAUACCUGUCUAUUUAAGGUCCCACAGUUAACAAUGCAUGUCAGAGCAAAUACCAAGCAAUGAGAUCAAAGAAAUUGUCCAUAGAGCUCAGAGACAGGAUUGUGUCGAGGCACAGAUCUGGGGAAUGUUACCAAAAAUGUCUGUAGCAUUGGAGGUCCCCAAGAACACAGUGGUCACCAUCAUUCUUAAAUGGAAGAAGUUUGGAACCACAAAGACUCUUCCUAGAGCUUGCCACCCGGCCAAACUGAGCAAUCGGGAGAGGAGGGCCUUGGUCAGCAACCCAAUGUUCACUCUGACAGAGCUCCAGAGCUCCUUUGUGGAGAUGGUUUUCCUUCUGGAAGGUUCCCCCAUCUCUGCAGCACUCUGCCAAUCAGGCCUUUAUGUAGCAAUGAUUAAAACCUCUUAAGGAUGCGCCCCUUUUUUUAAACUGUUUUUGGUUUGUCAUUAUGGGGUAUUGUGUGUAGAUUGAUGAGGGGGAAAAAUUUCAAUUUUAGAAUAAGGCGGUAACGUAACAAAAUGUGGAAAAGGUGAAGGGGUCUGAAUAUUUUCCGAAUGCACUGUAUACCGCUGGCUGAGGUUUCCACCGCUGGCUGAGGUUUCCACCGCUGGCUGAGGUUUCCACCGCUGGCUGGUAGUUUUGUACACAGUCACGUGAUACGUGGUAUAGAAAAAUCCAAUUUUAGGAGAGUACAAGGGAGGCACUAUACUGUCUCUGCAGGUGUCUAUCUGCACUGAAACAGGUGCCCCUCCACCCUCUGGUGGGAUGAAUCAUGUCUCCAGAGAAACCUAGAUUCAAAUACUUAGAUUUGUGUGUAUUGGGUAUAUGUUGUGAAAUUGUUAGAUAUUACUUGUUAGAUAUUACUGCACUGUCGGAGCUGGAAACACAAGCAUUUCGUUACACCCUCAAAAACAUCUGCUAAACACGUGUAUGUGACCAAUAAAAUGUCAUUUGAUUUUGAUUUGAAAUAAACUUCCUAUUUAUCAACGGUG